UCUGAGCACACCCGCACAGGUGAAGUAACGUUAGUUAGCUAGUUAUGCUAACUAACCUAAAAACACACAGGAGAAAACGGCGGGAAAUUAGUUAGUUAACCUGGUUACUAGCCUGUCAGCUAACCAUAAGCAGAAAUAACACCGAAUUAAGAAGUUUUAGUUCAAUAAAACCUUCCCCAAACUGAGUUUUAAAGCAAAUCUGAGCUACAGGUGUGCUGAAAUUCUGCUGAAAGGAAGGAAGAUAUGAAGAUAAUAAAUCCAGUAUCCCAGCAACCCUCCUCCCACCUAACUCCAGCGAAAAGGUAUACAGAGUGUUUGCAGAGUGGGCCUGACGGUCCAGAACACAUCCCCCCACUGAAAGCCUGACCGGGUCCAGUUUCAGGGAUUAGCCAGCAGACUUCGUUUGAGGGAGGGAUCUGUACCUACUGUACCGUCUGCAGCGAGUCAGCAGAUGAGGAAGUAAAUGAUGGCUGGACGCUGGUCCCCAUCUGCCGGCUGGACCCGGUCCAGAGCCCUAUCGCCCGAUCCCGAGUCCAGGAGUCCUGCAGGAGGAAGAGGAGGAGGAUGAAGAGAGGGACAAAAAGCGAAGGAACGCGAACAGCAGGAACAUCACUGCAGCCGGCCAGCCAGAGAGUGAGAGAGGAGAGAGACGAGCGAGCUGAGAGGAGGAGGAGAGAGAGAGAGAGAGAGAGAGAGAGAGAGACGGGGAGAGAGAGAGACAGAUGACUUCCAUAGAUUAAAGAAGUAAGAAUGGGCUGAAUGAGUGAAAGCCUGGAUGGAAAGCAAGAAAUCAUAAAGACAAUGAAAAACAAUUCAGUGAAUAUGAAAUAUAUUAUAAAUGUAUACACUCUUGAUCAUAUAAUUCACUCUUUAUUUGUAUAAUAUAAUCUGUACAGACUGUUGUUCUGUACUUUAAUAUUCUC